GUCGCCGAGCAGCCCGGCGAGCUGCCAUCAACCCGAGUGUUUUGAAACGACCGGCCGAUUUCUCCGGCGUCCUCGGAAGCAAAAACUGGCAAAAAAAAAAAAAAAAUUCAGACGUGAGGAGGAAGACGCUCAUUCCAGGCUGAACAAUGUCACGUUUUAUGAUUUAAAGCACCUGCUCCACAGCGUUCUCGCUCCCGCCUGAGUUGGUGACGAAAGCUAACCGUUAGCAGCACAACGUCCAAUUUACAAGUUCGGCCUGGGAGGAAUUUGCUGAUUCGCGAUGAUAUCCGGAGUUUUUUUGUUUUGUUUUUUUUCGUUUUUUGGGGAACAAAUGAGCAUCCUUAAAAUGACGAGAGCGAUGCUUGGAGUCCGGAAACUUUUUGUCCUCCGGGAGCCGCCGGUUCAGAGCGACCAGCACGGCGGGGGUUUCUCCUACAGGUGACUUGAGCGGAGCGAGCUUCAGAGAGCAAAGCACCGCGGGAAACGUCCUCCUCCCGAUGGACCGAGCGAAGGGGUCGUGACCUUUGACACAGUCGGCCUCAAAGACAUCAGCGCAACAACGAAAGCCAACGAAAAGAUUUUUCUUUUUCACCAGAAACUUUGUCAUCGAUCUUUGUGAAAGUCAGAAACAGGGUAGAAAAAGUUUUCACGACGGCAACAUUUCACAUCAGUCGAUAUUCAACGGUCGACGUUUGAUUCGCACAAAUUUGUUCCAGUUCAUUUUUGCAUCAAGCCUCCAGUCCCCGUUUGAUUUUCUAAAGGCUUUUCUUUCAGUCAGGGAUCGUGGGAAGAACCGGAGCCGGGAAAAGCUCUCUCCUCCGUUCCGCCUGGCAGAACCUCACAGACGGCGUUUCGACCUCUGACCUCGCCCCCCCCCCCCCCCCCCCGCCAGAAGACGUCCGUCUUUCCUCAGUUGAAGGCUCCGGACGGUGGCAGCAUCCAGGAAUCAGACCGACCCUUUGCUCCGCCACAGAACCAAGACGGCGCCCUCCGCAAGCCGGGCCGAGCCGGGUCGAGCCCACGCAGCCGCUCUGCCGCACUCAGCCAGAGAGGUGUUUUACGGUCGCAGACGUACUACGUGGACUUUCUCCGACCAACAUCGGAGCACGACGGCGGCCACCAUCCCGAAGCGAUAUAUGGAACGUGUGUAGUAACGCCCGUGUUUCUUCCGUUACGGGUACGGUUACGAAGAAGCUGGAGUUCCAGGGAAGCCGAUGUCAUGAUGAACGUGAAGCAUUUGAGUUUGAGCAGGUACUCUGUGAGGUCACCGCUAUGAGAAACAGUGAAGAGGGAAAUAUGUGCAGCAGUUGCGGUGAAGUUCAGGGCUGAUGUGUCUGUCGGUGGAGACAUCCCAACAUGUCAGUUCUCUGUGGCCUUCAAGGCUCUCAGGGAUGUAUUGUUACGGCUUCAUCACGAAACAUCUUGUCAUGUGUUUUAUGAAAUGUAAAGGUUAAUAUGCACUUGCUUUUCUCCACUCUCAUCAAAAGGUGAUAAGUUGAAGUGGACCUCCAACGAAGUCAGUCACCCAACAGUGAUCCAGUCUAGCGUCUUAUGGACUGUUUGCCCUCUGCGUCUGACCGGUGAUGAACGUUGUGGUGGAUCUGCAGUCAGAGCUGUGCAUGUGUGGAGAUCCUGGCGAAAAACUGGAUCUCCAGCUGUGAGGAGAUGCUGUGGUGGUGACGGAAAGCCAAGAGGAUGUCUGGUGAUGCAGCCUUCAUGGGUCAAUAUUCCCCUUAAUCCCCUUAUUCCCCUUAUUCCCCACCGGUUGAAGAGAGGAAAGCAAUAGAAUUCUAUAUAUACACACUAAGUGUU